UGGCGGACGGGUGAGUAAUGUCUGGGAAACUGCCUGAUGGAGGGGGAUAACUACUGGAAACGGUAGCUAAUACCGCAUAACGUCGCAAGACCAAAGAGGGGGACCUUCGGGCCUCUUGCCAUCGGAUGUGCCCAGAUGGGAUUAGCUAGUAGGUGGGGUAACGGCUCACCUAGGCGACGAUCCCUAGCUGGUCUGAGAGGAUGACCAGCCACACUGGAACUGAGACACGGUCCAGACUCCUACGGGAGCAGCAUG
rnacentral:rRNA from 1 species